rnacentral:rRNA from 1 species
UCUACGGGUGGCUGCAGUGGGGAAUAUUGGACAAUGGGCGAAAGCCUGAUCCAGCCAUGCCGCGUGUGUGAAGAAGGCCUUCGGGUUGUAAAGCACUUUCAGUGGGGAAGAAAGCCUUGGGGCUAAUACCCUCGAGGAAGGACAUCACCCACAGAAGAAGCACCGGCUAACUCCGUGCCAGCAGCCGCGGUAAUACGGAGGGUGCGAGCGUUAAUCGGAAUUACUGGGCGUAAAGCGCGCGUAGGCGGUCUGAUAAGCCGGUUGUGAAAGCCCCGGGCUCAACCUGGGAACGGCAUCCGGAACUGUCAGGCUAGAGUGCAGGAGAGGAAGGUAGAAUUCCCGGUGUAGCGGUGAAAUGCGUAGAGAUCGGGAGGAAUACCAGUGGCGAAGGCGGCCUUCUGGACUGACACUGACGCUGAGGUGCGAAAGCGUGGGUAGCAAACAGGAUUAGAUACCCUUGUAGUC